rnacentral:rRNA from 1 species
CGGGGCUUAAUGUCUUGUAAUUGGAAUGAUGGGAAUUUAAACCUCUUCCAGAGUAUCAAUUGGAGGGCAAGUCUGGUGCCAGCAGCCGCGGUAAUUCCAGCUCCAAUAGCGUAUAUUAAAAUUGUUGCAGUUAAAAAGCUCGUAGUUGAAUUUCUGCUACAUUGCCUAUUCUCCUUUACGAGUUUGGGUCUUUUGUGGCUUAUCUGGGUUCGCUUGCGUUCCCGGUAUUUUACUUUGAGAAAAUUAGAGUGCUCAAAGCAGGCUUUUGCCUUGAAUAGUUUAGCAUGGAAUAAUAAAGUAGGACUUUGGUUCUAUUUUGUUGGUUUUAGGUACCAAAGUAAUGGUUAAUAGGAACAGUUGGGGGCAUUCGUAUUUAACUGUCAGAGGUGAAAUUCUUAGAUUUGUUAAAGACGAACUACUGCGAAAGCAUUUGCCAAGGAUGUUUUCAUUAAUCAAGAAC